UACGUAGGUGACAAGCGUUAUCCGGAAUUACUGGGCGUAAAGCGCACGCAGGCGGCUGCGUAAGUCUGACGUGAAAUCUCCCGGCUUAACCGGGAGCGGUCGUUGGAAACUAUGCGGCUUGAGGCGAUGAGAGGGGUGUGGAAUUCCCGGUGUAGUGGUGGAAUGCGUAGAUAUCGGGAGGAACAUCAGUGGCGAAAGCGGCACCCUGGCAUUAGCCUGACGUUCAGGUGCGAAAGCGUGGGGAGCGAACGGG
rnacentral:rRNA from 1 species